rnacentral:rRNA from 1 species
GCCCAGACUCCUACGGGAGGCAGCAGUGGGGAAUAUUGGGCAAUGGGCGCAAGCCUGACCCAGCAACGCCGCGUGAAGGAAGAAGGCUUUCGGGUUGUAAACUUCUUUUGACAGGGAAGAGUAGAAGACGGUACCUGUCGAAUAAGCCACGGCUAACUACGUGCCAGCAGCCGCGGUAAUACGGAGGAUGCGAGCGUUAUCCGGAUUUAUUGGGUUUAAAGGGUGCGUAGGCGGACAGUCAAGUCAGCGGUAAAAAUGCGGGGCUCAACGCCGUACAGCCGUUGAAACUGGCAGUCUUGAGUGGGCGAGAAGUAUGCGGAAUGCGUGGUGUAGCGGUGAAAUGCAUAGAUAUCACGCAGAACUCCGAUUGCGAAGGCAGCAUACCGGCGCCCUACUGACGCUGAGGCACGAAAGCGUGGGUAUCGAACAGGAUUAGAUACCCGAGUACA